AAGGCUCAGGCUGUGAGCUCCAGUAGGGCAACUGCUUACAGGAAGCCAGGCUUUGCUUCCAUACACAUUUCUAGGUGGCUGGCCCCGGCUGGUCCUUGCGCAGCAGGCAGUGCUGCCAUGGGAGGUGCUCAGGGAGAAGCUGGGCCUUCGAAGCUUUGAGGUUGGGUCCAAGCUGGCAACCCUGAGAGGAGCCCCAGAGGAUGAGCAGGUGGUGUCUGGGUGAGGGGUGGCCAUGGCACUACAAGGGGAGACUGAGCGUGAUGCUGAAGAACAGAGUGAUUGGUGGCUGGUAAGGAGCAGACAAGAGGUGAGGCAGAACCCCAGGGAGCUGGAGGAAGGGAGCAGUGAGGACUCAGUGGCCUGUCCCUUGGGGCCAAGGAAGCAGAGGGCAGAAAAUGUGUCUUGAGGCUGGAAGAGGGGACUGACGAGGCUGAAGAUGUGCCCUGGGGUGGGCAAGGGGGUGUGUUUCUGAACCGGUGACUGGGGACAUGGAUGCCCCUGGUCUUGCUGGAGUUGGUGGGUAAAAACCAUGUCACAGAAGCUAACUAGAGGCUCCCGGGCCUCCUGUGGACCAGAUCCAACUGAUCUAUGGCACGGCUUUCCCUCUCCCUACAGAGAGGAGGGCUGGGCCUGGGGCCUGGAGCCCAGAAUCCUGGGUGUGGGGGUGUGCAGACUGGGCAGCAGGCAUUCUAGAACAUUCCCUUCCUCAGGCCCUGCUUUGUGAGCCCAUGAAAUUGGCCGUUCUGGGUCCAGGGUUCAGGCUACAGGAGCAUCUCCCACACUGUCCUCUGGGAAGCUCCCCGACCAGCUUGCUGCCCCCGAAGCAAUGUGCCUGCUCCAAGCCUUGUGCCCCUCCGGGGUCCUGUUCUCUCCAGCCCUAUCUCUGCUCCUUGGGAUUCCCUCCCACAGACACGGGCUGGACCAAAUGGCUCCAGCAUGCAAACCUUGGAAAAUGGACCAUGUGUCUGUGUCUGCCAACAAAAAUGUUUAAUCAGUUGCUGUAUUUCUCUCCCUCCAUCCCUCUGCUUUGGUUUUAUUGGCUUUGGCAGAAUUUAUUACCCAGCGUUAAUUUGGCAUCCCCUUCCUGUCACUGCCGGAGACAAACCACCUGAAACAGACGAGGCCCUGUGCACAGGAAUCUCAGACUGAGCCCCUCACGCAUCCCCCAAAGUGGAGAAGGGGCUGGAGCUCCCCACAGGCUCAGCGGGAGAGCCAGGCACAGGAGCUGGGGAGAAGGGCUGGGCCUCACCCGGGCCUCACCCGGGCCUUAGGGAGAUGGUAAAGGUGGGCUGGAGCCUGGCAUGGAGCAGCGGGGUCCUCGCCUCCCUCAGUGCCCAGCGCAGCGUGAGCAAGGAACAUAGUGAGCACAGGUCCAGGCGACCUUACCAGCACCAGGAGGACCAAGUCCCAGAGCCCCCACCGCUGGGUUUUGGAAGUGUGCCAGCUGUUUGUGCUCACAGUGACAGGGACACCUCUGGCAGGAGGGGGGGGGCAGUGCCUCUCACCAGGCGUCGUGCCAGUGGGAUCCUUGUAAACCCACCCCGAGGAGGGGCGCAGCCUGGGUUGCACAGCCAGUUACAGCCAUAGCUGGAGCCAACUCUGCCUCCUGAGCUGGUCUCUUGCCCCUGCUCUCCUGCCGUGGGCUUGAGGCCAGCUGCUUGGGAGAGGACCGAGAAUCUGGGAAAGACCAAGGCCAAAGCCAGGAAUGGAGAAAGUAAAAGUUUGACCACAGACUCAGGACGACCAGCCUCCCUCCUCUUCUGGGAAAAUGGAGGUCGCCGUUCAGAUCCCGCCCCUUUGCUCUGGUGCCUGCUCUGGAGCCCUGGGAGCCUCUGUCCUUGAGUGGGAAGUGAGGAGCUGGUGCUGUGCUUUAUGCUGUGAAAGAUGAAGGUGUCACCAUGCAGCGUCUACACUAUGACAGGGACUAGGGAUGAGGGAGCUGUCAGUGUCCUCCAGGCCUUAAC